rnacentral:lncRNA from 1 species
AGACUCCAGAGAACCAGGCAUAAAGCAGGAGAUCCCUAAAAGAAGGGGCAAUGGGUAUGCUCUUCCCUUCAAGUUGGAUAUUAUUUUCUAAUCUGCCCUUGGAUUUAUCUGAUUAAGUAGGAGAUAACUGGAAUUAUUUCAAGUUGAAAAUAGGGGCAGAAGGGGAGCUGCCUAUACAUAGCCCUACAGUUGCCCUGGCUCAGGGAACCUUGAAGAAGGUGGUUGGGCUUGGUCCCAUGAAUCCUCCAGAGGACUGACCAGCAUUUGAAUGCCUGCCACAGUGAGGGUAUCAGUGGCCAGCAUUAGCCAGAGAAGCAGUACCAGCCAACCCAGAAAGAACUGCAGCUGUGGCCAGAAGUCAAUGUCCCAGCUCAAGAGUGCUCCAUGUGAGGUCAAGAGAAGGGAAAAAAGAUUUAAACGGAGUUUGAGAUUGAAGCCUUAAAGAAGACUGGACUUUUAAUAAUCAGAAAGUUAUGGAAUCCUCCUGUGUCUGCCCUGGACCUGUUUGCCCUCACCCUUUCCCACGCCUGCUAUGUACUGGGGCUGGGACCUCAUCCCUGCAGGCUGUGCUUCCCCGGGUCAGUUACUUUUGGUUAUGUGGCCAAAGGCAGGCACAGGUGAGGGACUGGAAAACAAGAGGAAGGAAGAUAAUCAAGGGCCUUCUCCUAAUGCCAGGAAGCUUUCCAGGCUGGCCCAGCUCAGAAGUGCCGAGGAACUCAUACCCUAUGGGCAACCCUCAACCAAUGCACAAUGUUGGCCAAUGAACAAAUGCUCCAUCCUCCUCUCCACUGGGUAGACACUUGUGGGAAAUAUUCUGCAUACUUCUCAGAGGUCCUGGUGGAACUGAGCUCUUGUUGCUGACAAUAGUGACCUCACAGUGUGUCUGUUGAUGGACUUUUCCUCUUUCUCUGUUUUACUCUCCCUAUCUCCUUGCUCCUACUUCCUGGGAUCGCCUGCACUAAGUCCUUGUCUCGGGCUCUGCUUUGCGGGACACCAAAACACUCAUCACCACAGUCCGGGAAAUGUUUGAGGUGAACACAGAAUAGAAUUAAUUGUAGAACUUCUAAGCCGGCUUCUCUCCUGCUUGGGGAGAUGUCUUGAAGAAAACUACAGUGCAUAGAUGAACAGAAAAUGCUGUGCUAUUUAAGAGCUGUAACACUGAGACCAGGCAGUUUUACUGUGGGCAUCUUAAACAAGCGCAGCGCUGUGAGAAGAGGCAAACAUUCUUGAACUACAAGAAAGCACUGUGGAAUCGAUUGGCAGAGAACUGUAUCAGUGGCAGCUGACAUGGUUUGGGGGACAGGACCACCAGAACAUCUCUUCAAGAUCACCAUGACUUCAGCGGAGUGCCCCAAAACACCAGCUGGGCAGUUACUGCCAAUGGAGUGUUGACACCAGGGAAGUGAAUCUAGCCACAGGGGACAUCCUGGAAUUCCCUUCUCCCAGGAGGUACCCACAGAUAAACAAUGAGCUGAACUAAUUCCUGGGCAAAUAGAAGCAAGCCUAGAAUAUUUGAAGGAAUAAUUUUUGAAGAAUAUUUGAGAGAGAAGAAGAUGACUUUGUGCUAAUUUUGUACCUAGGGCAUCAGCCCUGUAAUUUAAGUUUUAGAAGAAACACAAACCUGUUUUAUCAUCACAGUUGGGUAAAGUCUGGAAUGUAUUUUACAACCACGUUAUUGACAAUUAUUCGGCUCAACAUUUCCGAAAAUUCAGUCAGUUGUCUAUCACCUACACUACAAUGUAUCAUUUGUACUAUUACUUACCUAAUACUUUCCUUUCAACCAGCCCACUUUUUAAAACUUAAAUACUUACUUUAUAUUAAAUACAAAUAAAUAUGAAAUUAUGGAUUUAGUAUCUACCUAUAUUUUCCUAACAACUAUUGAAAUAAAUAUAUAACUG